rnacentral:rRNA from 1 species
AGACCCGAAACCCGGUGAUCUAGCCAUGGGCAGGUUGAAGGUUGGGUAACACUAACUGGAGGACCGAACCGACUAAUGUUGAAAAAUUAGCGGAUGACCUGUGGCUGGGGGUGAAAGGCCAAUCAAACCGGGAGAUAGCUGGUUCUCCCCGAAAGCUAUUUAGGUAGCGCCUCGUGAAUUCAUCUCCGGGGGUAGAGCACUGUUUCGGCUAGGGGGCCAUCCCGGCUUACCAACCCGAUGCAAACUGCGAAUACCGGAGAAUGUUAUCACGGGAGACACACGGCGGGUGCUAACGUCCGUCGUGAAGAGGGAAACAACCCAGACCGCCAGCUAAGGUCCCAAAGUCAUGGUUAAGUGGGAAACGAUGUGGGAAGGCCCAGACAGCCAGGAUGUUGGCUUAGAAGCAGCCAUCAUUUAAAGAAAGCGUAAUAGCUCACUGGUCGAGUCGGCCUGCGCGGAAGAUGUAACGGGGCUAAACCAUGCACCGAAGCUGCGGCAGCGACACUCAGGUGUUGUUGGGUAGGGGAGCGUUCUGUAAGCCUGUGAAGGUGGCCUGUGAGGGUUGCUGGAGGUAUCAGAAGUGCGAAUGCUGACAUAAGUAACGAUAAAGCGGGUGAAAAGCCCGCUCGCCGGAAGACCAAGGGUUCCUGUCCAACGUUAAUCGGGGCAGGGUGAGUCGACCCCUAAGGCGAGGCCGAAAGGCGUAGUCGAUGGGAAACGGGUUAAUAUUCCCGUACUUGGUGUUACUGCGAAGGGGGGACGGAGAAGGCUAUGUUGGCCG